UGAGAUGUGAGGCACUUGCAGAGACUCAGUCCACCACCCUGGGCAGCUUUCACCACCCUGGGCAGCUUUUCCGAGACGUAGGGACUGGCUUGCCGUAAUUCAUAGCUUCUGCUGUCCCUUGCUACAUACCUCUCCAGCUCCCUGCCACCUCCACAUCUCCCAGUCAGCCUCUUGUUGGCACACUGAAUCACUCUGGGGCCAGAGAAAUUCAAGCCAGCUGCAGAAAUUUGCUUGAGUAGCAAGGAGCCCAAUGUUAAUCCUCAAGACCAUAGGGAAAAUGUCUCCAGGCCAUGUCAGAGACCUUCAUGGCAGCCCCUCCCACCAUAGGCCCAGAGGCCCAGGAGGAAAAAGUGGUUUCAUGGGCCAGGUCCAGGGUCCUUGUGCUGUGUGCAGCCUUAGGACUUGGUGCCCUGUGUCCCAGCCAUUCCAGCCGUGGCUGAAGGGGCCAAUGUAGAGCUCAGGCCAUGGCUUCAGAGGGUGGAAGCCCCAAACCUUGACAGCUUCCACGUGGUGUUGAGCCUUAGGUUGCACAGAAGUCAAGAAUUGAGGUUUGGGAAACUCCAACUGGAUUUCAGAAAAUGUAUGGAUGCCCAGGCAAAAGUUUGCUGCAGGGGCAGGGCCCUCAUGGAGAACCUUUGCUAGAGCAAACUGGAAGGAAGGAAAAUGUGGGUUUGGAGCCCCCACACAGAGUUCCUAGUGGGCACUGCCUAGUGCAGCUAUGAGAAGAGGGCCACCAUCUUUCAGACCCCAGAAUGGUAGAUCCACUGACAGCUUGCACUGUGUUGCUGGAAAAGCUGCAGACACUCAAUGCCAGCCUGUGAAAGCAGCUGGGUGAGGGCUGAAUCCUACAAAGCCAUAGGGGCAGAGCUGCCCAAGACCAUGGGAACCCAUCUCUUGCAUCAGUGUGAUGUGGCUGUGAGACCUGGAGUCAAAGGAGAUCAUUUUGGAGCUUUAAAAUUUGACUGCCUCACUGAACUUCAGACUUGCAUGGGCCCUAUAACCCCUUUGUUUUGGCCUAUCUCUCUUUCGGAAUGGCUGUAUUUACCCAAUACCUGUACUUCCAUUGUAUCUAGGAAGUAACUAGCUUUCUUUUGAUUUUACAGGCUCAUAGGUAGAAGGGACUUGCCUUGUCUCAGAUGAGACUUUUGACUGGAUUUUUGGGUUAAUGCUGAAAUGAGUUAAGAUUUUGGGGGACUGUUGGGAAGGCAUGAUUAGUUUUGAAAAGUGAGGACACGAGAUUUGGAGGGGCCAGGGGCAGAAUGAUGUGGUUUGGCUGUGUCCCCACCCAAAUCUCAACUUGAAUUUUAUCUCCCAGAAUUCCCACAUGUUGUGGGAGGGGUCCAGGGGGAGGUAAUUGAAUCAUGGGGGCCAGGCCUUCCCAUGCUAUUCUUGUGAUAGUGAAUAAGUCUCACGAGAUCUAAUGGGUUUAUCAGGGGUUUCCGCUUUUGCUUCUUCCUCAUUUUUCUCUUGCCACCACCAUAUAAAAAGUGCCUUUCACCUCCUGCCAUGAUUCUGACACCUCCCCAGCCAUGUGGAACUGUAAGUGCAAUUAAACCUCUUUUGGUUCCCAGUUUUGAGUGUGUCUUUAUCAGCAGUGUGAAAAUGAACUAAUAUACCAAGCUAUCACAUCACUGAGUGUGAUGGGCCAUCAGCACUGCUGUGAUGUCCUGCAAAAGUGGAAUUAUUUCUUGACUUGACCUCACUCUUAUGUACUUGAGAAGCUGAGUUCUCUUCUCGCAUGUUCUAAUAAACAAGUCUUAUAAGUCUGG
rnacentral:lncRNA from 1 species